CUUAUUAAUAAGCAUGCCUCACUACUUCUUUAUAAGCAGUGAUGAGGAAGAGAGCAUGUGAGGCCAGUCUGCUGCCCUGAUGUUUGGCACAGUCUGAGUACAGUGAUUAUUUGUCAGCGCUGGUCUGUCUGUUUGUUUCUGUUUGAAGGAAAGUAUUAGCUCCCAGAGGCUUGGUUCACCUUUUUUGUGGUCAUGAUAGAGGUGGCCAUGAGAUUUACUUUCCUGAAUAAAAAGUAGGUAAAUGAAGCUGGUGUGUUCCUUCUUUCCUCCUACCUUGAACCUAGAUGUGACGGUUAGAGCUAUAGCAGCCAUUCUGCGGCCUUGAGGAAAAGACAAAGAAUAUGGUGUCAGUCCACUGGGUUGCUAAUUUAAUGCCAGCAACUUGUCAGAGCCAAAUGCGAUCCUAAUGGUGAUGCACUGAGAUAUAAAUGUCAAGACCGUGAAGAAUACACACAAACAACUGAGGUUGAGACAGUGGAGAAGAGAGCAGGCACUGAGGUCUAACUGGAGGGUUUGAACACCACCUGCUUACAUCCUCUGCCAGCUGUGUGAAUAUGAACAAAUUUAACUGUGCCUCUGUCUCCACAUCUAAAAAAGGGAUCAUAAGAGCACAUCCUCAGCAUUACCAUAAGCUGAAAACAAACCAUUCACAGAGAAGGAUUUACUACUUGACAGAAUAAUCCUUAAUCUUCUGCAUCCUGCCCACCUGGAUUCUCUCCGCUGAGCUCUUCCUGUUUUCCCUGCUGUGGGAAUAGCAGGGAAUCCAUUUCCUGAUUUGGAACAGUGCACCUCCCUGAAGCCAUUGGUUGAGCAGUCUCAGUCUUACCUCCCUUAUCAUAAGCUAAAUGUCAAUGGAAUCAUGAACUUUUCUC
ensembl:lncRNA